AUUGAACGCUGGCGGCAGGCUUAACACAUGCAAGUCGAGCGGGGAAGGGUAGCUUGCUACCUAACCUAGCGGCGGACGGGUGAGUAAUGCUUAGGAAUCUGCCAUUUAGUGGGGGACAACAUUCCGAAAGGAAUGCUAAUACCGCAUACGUCCUACGGGAGAAAGCAGGGGAUCUUCGGACCUUGCGCUAAAUGAUGAGCCUAAGUCGGAUUAGCUAGUUGGUGGGGUAAAGGCCUACCAAGGCGACGAUCUGUAGCGGGUCUGAGAGGAUGAUCCGCCACACUGGGACUGAGACACGGCCCAGACUCCUACGGGAGGCAGCAGUGGGGAAUAUUGGACAAUGGGCGGAAGCCUGAUCCAGCCAUGCCGCGUGUGUGAAGAAGGCCUUAUGGUUGUAAAGCACUUUAAGCGAGGAGGAGGCUACUUAGAUUAAUACUCUAGGAUAGUGGACGUUACUUGCAGAAUAAGCACCGGCUAACUCUGUGCCAGCAGCCGCCGUAA
rnacentral:rRNA from 1 species